rnacentral:rRNA from 1 species
UAGGGAAUAUUGGACAAUGGGGGCAACCCUGAUCCAGCCAUGCCGCGUGAGUGAAGAAGGCCCUCGGGUUGUAAAGCUCUUUUGUCCGGAAAGAAAAGCUUCGGGUUAAUACCCCGGGGUUCUGACGGUACCGGAAGAAUAAGCACCGGCUAACUUCGUGCCAGCAGCCGCGGUAAUACGACGGGUGCAAGCGUUACUCGGAAUUACUGGGCGUAAAGCGUGCGUAGGUGGUAGUUUAAGUCUGAUGUGAAAGCCCUGGGCUCAACCUUGGAAUGGCAUUGGAAACUGGGCAGCUAGAGUGUGGUAGAGGUUAGUGGAAUUCCCGGUGUAGCAGUGAAAUGCGUAGAGAUCGGGAGGAACAUCUGUGGCGAAGGCGACUGCCUGGACCAGCACUGACACUGAGGCACGAAAGCGUGGGGAGCAGACA